AGUAAAAGUCGUAACAAGGUUUCCGUAGGUGAACCUGCGGAAGGAUCAUUACCGAGUGCGGGUUCUCACGAGCCCAACCUCCCACCCGUGUUUACCGUUACCGCGUUGCCUCGGCGGGCCCACUGGGGCCUGGCCCCGGUCGCCGGGGGGCUUCUGCCCCCGGGCCCGCGCCCGCCGACGCACCCUAGAACCCUGCCUGAAUAGUGAGUCUGAGUGAGAUUUGAAAUCAUUAAAACUUUCAACAACGGAUCUCUUGGUUCCGGCAUCGAUGAAGAACGCAGCGAAAUGCGAUAAGUAAUGUGAAUUGCAGAAUUCCGUGAAUCAUCGAAUCUUUGAACGCACAUUGCGCCCCCUGGCAUUCCGGGGGGCAUGCCUGUCCGAGCGUCAUUUCUGCCCUCCAGCACGGCUGGGUGUUGGGCGCUGUCCCCCCGGGGACACGCCCCAAAAGCAGUGGCGGCGCCGCGUCGGGUCCUCGAGCGUAUGGGGCUUUGUCACCCGCUCGGGAGGGACUCGGUCGGCGCUGGUCUUCCCUUUAGGCCGCCCUUCGGAGUGCGCCUCUUCCGGUUGACCUCGGAUCAGGUAGGGCUACCCGCUGAACUUAAGCAUAUCAAUAAGCGGAGGAAAAGAAACCAACAGGGAUUGCCUUAAUAACG
rnacentral:rRNA from 1 species